rnacentral:lncRNA from 10 species
UUAGAGAAUUUAUAUUAUCGUUUUAAUAAUGGAACAUUCCACAGUGACCUCUUUAAAACUUGUCUUAUUUAAUUCAGAGUGGUUUAGAAAUCAAGCUGCUUUAGAAAUAGACCAGCCUGUAGUCAGCAGCCAUGAACAUGACUAUGAGCUCUUUAGCUGGGGACCAUGUGAAGCCUGGUUUGUGAGGAUGAUUGGCUCAUUUAAGGGCAACAAACAAAUUGUUGUAGAAUUGCUGGGGAGCCAGUUAGGAAGGAUCUUUCCAGUGCUCUGUGAUUGUCAGCAGUUCUGGUGCAAUGAGGCAAAGACUGUGCUUUUGACCCUGCUCCUGUUACACCAGAGUCCAUAGCUUUCAAUCCAUCCUGAUGUGGAGGCACUGAGGUCUUUAGCUUGAAGCUUUGGUUGGACAACUGUUUGGAAAGUCUAAAAUCAGGAAUAGACACAGCCCGUGAAGAGCACAGUCACAAUGGAGAUUCUCCUCUACCCAAGCCUGGAGGAUGGGGUCUGCUCGCCCCAGCGAGGAGUGAAGGUUUGGAUGCUGCAAUGGUCAUAUGGAAAAGAAUGAGGCUCUUGAACCUUCGGGGGUCAAAUCUUGUCUCUCCCAGGUAAUGUUGUGCAGUCUCAGAUAUGCCACUUACUUGCUCCGAACUUCAAUUUCCUCCUCUCUAAAUGAACAUACGAAACUUGUGGGAAUUUGAGGUUAUGCAGUGAAGCAACCACACAAGCCGCCAUCCCAAGAGGCCAUAAAUCAAAGGUGUAAAGGCCCAGCUGUUGGGAUCGUCCAGCUGGAUCCAUCUCUUACCAACUGUGUGGCCUCAGGAAUGUGGCUUCGCCUGUCUGAGCCUCGGCCCCUGAGUCUGUAGAAUGGAGAUAAUUACAUCAUCUGCCUUACAGGUGUUUGUGGAGGUCAGCUAAGAUGAUGAGGAACAGAAGGUUGCAUGGCAGGUGCACAGCACGUAGUCAGUAAAGGGGAACCUUAUGACAUGGACCACUGUCUGGAGGAGGAAGGGCACAGACAACAUAUCAGAGCUUGGACCAGGGCUUGGACUAGACUUCACUGAGAAUCAUGGGAUCCCAGGGGGAAGGCAGGCUUGACUCAGGUGGCCAAACAGCUGUCUCAAGAAAGGCCUCUCCAGGUUGCAUUGCUGAUAGAAGACAGAGCUAGCCAGUUUGCUCUACCCCCUAAAGUAGGCUCCUCUCCUGCACAGUGUUUUCAUAUGCCUCAGGGCCAUGUGACACUGAAGACAGCCCCUGAGUGCAACGUCUUUAGGACAUCCGCACAAAGCUGCCCUGAACAUGCACCUCGAAGACCAUCUGGGAGCCUGCCAGAGCUUGGGCAAAAACCUGUAGAGAGUGCCCACAUGCUGCCCUUGGCCUGAGGAAUGAUCCAAUUGUAGCUUCCCUGACCUGACCUCAAGAAAGAUGCAAUCCUCCUGUAUGACAUCAAAGCUUCGUUUGCUCCCACAGCUCUCACCCGCGACUUCCCUAACUCCCAAGGCUUCCCCUAAGCUGUGGAGGACUUCAGCAGUGAGUCAUCAGUGAUCUGAACUCUCUGAUCUCUUGCUAUGUUUGGGGCCCUCCCUCUGUCUCUGAAGACUUUUAGUGACAACCCAGAAAUUAAGAACUUUCCCCUAUGCUUUUAUGUUUUCUAAUAUCACAUAGCAAAGAGCUACACAGCAGCAUUUGAGUCCAAAUGCUACUUAAUCUGAAUGAUCACUUGCCAAUCUCUAAGUGUUAUUUGGAGCAUCACAUAGAGCAAUAACAACAAGUGCUCAUUCUUUUCCACUAAGAGGGUCCCUUGCAUAAGGACCCCUUUUCCUCAGUAUUCAUUAUGAAGGGUGUUCAAAAAAGUGUUUUCAGAAGUCUGUAAAUGUUCUACAAAAAUUUUUAUUUGUGCAUUUUUUUUUUAUUUUUUUAGAGAGGUCUUGCUAUAUUGUCCAGGAUGGUCUUGAACUCCUGACCUCAAGCAAUCCUUCUGCCUCUGCCUCCCAAAGUGCUGGGAUUACAGGCACUAACCACCAUGCCUAGCCUGAAUAUUUUUUUUUAAUUUGAAGAUUUUACUUUUAUAACUUUGGCAUACUGAAAAAAAUAAUAUGGUUGUAAAGUUUUGUUCUUUCUCCCAUUGAGAGACAGAGUCUAUUUCUCCCUGGAAGCUAAACUUGGUCACACCACUUGUUUUGGCCAAUAAGUCACUAGCAAAUAUGGCAUGAGCAGUAGCUUGAGAAAGGUUGUCCCCUUAGGGUUUGUCUUCUCUUGCUGACUUUGGAACCCAGCAGCCAUGGGAAGAAGGUAGGGCUGGUCAGCUAGAAGCUGGACUUAUGCCAUCCCAGCCAACUGCCAAACACAUGAGUGAGGCCAUCUAGGAUCCAGUGACCACAGCCACCUAAGAGGGCUAUGGCAAGUCUAGUAGAAGAACUGCCCAACUGUGCUCAGCUUGAAUUGCCAAUCCACAGAAUUACGAGCUAAUGAAUAAGCGUUGCUUUAAAUCACUAAGUUUUUUGGGGUAGUUUCCUACUUAGUGAAACCUGAGAUGAUGAUAACAUAACGAAAUGAGCAUAAGCAUCUCCUGGAGCAUGUGUAUAACCACCUUAUGCUGACGCUGUCACACGCUUCCUAUGUGCAUGUUUGAGAUUGUGUCUAUGAUCUUAUUAAUUGCAUUCACUUUGCUUAUAAACUAAUGAGAUAAGAGCAGUGCAUGUAACACAUUUGUUCCAAGUGAGGUAAAUGAAGUCCCAGCCCUUUAUACAAACGGGGUAAGAGGUGAAAUGGGGAAACUGGGAGAAUUGGUGAAGAAGUCAGUCAUAAUGAGGCACACAAUUUUUCCACAAAUCAUAAUUUUGUCCAUGUGGUUUUAUAAAGGAACUUGAGCCAUUAAGUAUAAGGAAUUUGUACCUAUGCUUUUUUUUUACAUGUUCAUGUGCUUAAAUAACAUGAUAAUAAAUGCAUAUUUAAAUAACAUUAAAAUGGAA